GGGCCCGCACAAGCGGAGGAACAUGUGGUUUAAUUCGAUGAUACGCGAGGAACCUUACCCGGGAUUGAAAUGUGGAAGACGGACCGUGAAAGCGGUUUUCCAGCAAUGGCUUCCAUGUAGGUGCUGCAUGGUUGUCGUCAGCUCGUGCCGUGAGGUGUCGGGUUAAGUCCCAUAACGAGCGCAACCCCUGCCGACAGUUGCCAACGGGUAAUGCCGGGGACUCUGUCGGGACUGCCGGUGUAAACCGCGAGGAAGGCGGGGAUGACGUCAAAUCAGCACGGCCCUUACAUCCGGGGCUACACACGUGUUACAAUGGCCGGUACAGAGGGUCGCGCCCCGGUGACGGGUAGCCAAUCCUCAAAGCCGGUCUUAGUUCGGAUCGGAGUCUGCAACCCGACUCCGUGAAGCCGGAUUCGCUAGUAAUCGCGCAUCAGCCACGGCG
rnacentral:rRNA from 1 species